UCUGGUAUUGAUUGGUGCUUGCAUCAUGAUUUACAUUUGAGUGAGUGGCGAACUGGUGAGUAACACGUGGGAAACCUGCCCAGAAGCGGGGGAUAACACCUGGAAACAGAUGCUAAUACCGCAUAACAACUUGGACCGCAUGGUCCGAGCUUGAAAGAUGGCUUCGGCUAUCACUUUUGGAUGGUCCCGCGGCGUAUUAGCUAGAUGGUGGGGUAACGGCUCACCAUGGCAAUGAUACGUAGCCGACCUGAGAGGGUAAUCGGCCACAUUGGGACUGAGACACGGCCCAAACUCCUACGGGAGGCAGCAGUAGGGAAUCUUCCACAAUGGACGAAAGUCUGAUGGAGCAACGCCGCGUGAGUGAAGAAGGGUUUCGGCUCGUAAAACUCUGUUGUUAAAGAAGAACAUAUCUGAGAGUAACUGUUCAGGUAUUGACGGUAUUUAACCAGAAAGCCACGGCUAACUACGUGCCAGCAGCCGCGGUAAUACGUAGGUGGCAAGCGUUGUCCGGAUUUAUUGGGCGUAAAGCGAGCGCAGGCGGUUUUUUAAGUCUGAUGUGAAAGCCUUCGGCUCAACCGAAGAAGUGCAUCGGAAACUGGGAAACUUGAGUGCAGAAGAGGACAGUGGAACUCCAUGUGUAGCGGUGAAAUGCGUAGAUAUAUGGAAGAACACCAGUGGCGAAGGCGGCUGUCUGGUCUGUAACUGACGCUGAGGCUCGAAAGUAUGGGGUAGCAAACAGGAUUAGAUACCCUGGUAGUCCAUACCGUAAACGAUGAAUGCUAAGUGUUGGAGGGUUUCCGCCCUUCAGUGCUGCAGCUAACGCAUUAAGCAUUCCGCCUGGGGAGUACGGGCCGCAAGGCUGAAACUCAAAGGAAUUGACGGGGGCCCGCACAAGCGGUGGGAGCAUGUGGUUUUAAUUCGAAGCUACGCGAAGAACCUUACCCAGGUCUUGACAUACUAUGCAAAUCUGGAGAUUAGACGUUCCCUUCGGGGACGUGGAUACAGGUGUUGCAUGGUUGUCCUCAAACUCGGUG
rnacentral:rRNA from 2 species